rnacentral:rRNA from 1 species
AUUGAACGCUGGCGGCAUGCCUUACACAUGCAAGUCGAACGGCAGCAUGAUCUAGCUUGCUAGAUUGAUGGCGAGUGGCGAACGGGUGAGUAAUACAUCGGAACGUGCCCUGUAGUGGGGGAUAACUAGUCGAAAGAUUAGCUAAUACCGCAUACGACCUGAGGGUGAAAGUGGGGGACCGCAAGGCCUCAUGCUAUAGGAGCGGCCGAUGUCUGAUUAGCUAGUUGGUGAGGUAAAGGCUCACCAAGGCGACGAUCAGUAGCUGGUCUGAGAGGACGAUCAGCCACACUGGGACUGAGACACGGCCCAGACUCCUACGGGAGGCAGCAGUGGGGAAUUUUGGACAAUGGGCGAAAGCCUGACCCAGCAAUGCCGCGUGUGUGAAGAAGGCCUUCGGGUUGUAAAGCACUUUUGUCCGGAAAGAAAUGGCUCUGGUUAAUACCUGGGGUCGAUGACGGUACCGGAAGAAUAAGGACCGGCUAACUACGUG